CCAGGGCUACACACGUGCUACAAUGGCGCAUACAAAGAGAAGCGACCUCGCGAGAGCAAGCGGACCUCAUAAAGUGCGUCGUAGUCCGGAUUGGAGUCUGCAACUCGACUCCAUGAAGUCGGAAUCGCUAGUAAUCGUGGAUCAGAAUGCCACGGUGAAUACGUUCCCGGGCCUUGUACACACCGCCCGUCACACCAUGGGAGUGGGUUGCAAAAGAAGUAGGUAGCUUAACCUUCGGGAGGGCGCUUACCACUUUGUGAUUCAUGACUGGGGUGAAGUCGUAACAAGGUAACCGUAGGGGAACCUGCGGUUGGAUCACCUCCUUA
rnacentral:rRNA from 1 species